rnacentral:rRNA from 1 species
AGUGAACGCUGGCGGUAGGCCUAACACAUGCAAGUCGAACGGCAGCACAGUAAGAGCUUGCUCUUACGGGUGGCGAGUGGCGGACGGGUGAGGAAUACAUCGGAAUCUACUUUUUCGUGGGGAUAACGUAGGGAAACUUACGCUAAUACCGCAUACGACCUACGGGUGAAAGCAGGGGAUCUUCGGACCUUGCGCGAUUGCAUGAGCCGAUGUCGGAUUAGCUAGUUGGCGGGGUAAAGGCCCACCAAGGCGACGAUCCGUAGCUGGUCUGAGAGGAUGAUCAGCCACACUGGAACUGAGACACGGUCCAGACUCCUACGGGAGGCAGCAGUGGGGAAUAUUGGACAAUGGGCGCAAGCCUGAUCCAGCCAUACCGCGUGGGUGAAGAAGGCCUUCGGGUUGUAAAGCCCUUUUGUUGGGAAAGAAAAGCAGCAGGUUAAUACCCCGCUGUUCUGACGGUACCCAAAGAAUAAGCACCGGCUAACUUCGUG